rnacentral:misc_RNA from 1 species
UUCUGUGCUCAUCAUAUGAA